rnacentral:rRNA from 1 species
GACGAACGCUGGCGGCGUGCCUAAUACAUGCAAGUCGAGCGGACAGAAGGGAGCUUGCUCCCGGAAGUUAGCGGCGGACGGGUGAGUAACACGUGGGCAACCUACCCUGUAGAUCGGGAUAACAUCGAGAAAUCGGUGCUAAUACCGGAUAAUCAUUUGAAGUGCAUGCUUCGAAUGUAAAAGAUGGCUCCGGCAUUCACUAUGGGAUGGGCCCGCGGCGCAUUAGCUAGUUGGUAAGGUAAUGGCUUACCAAGGCAACGAUGCGUCGCCGACCUGAGAGGGUGAUCGGCCACACUGGGACUGAGACACGGCCCAGACUCCUACGGGAGGCAGCAGUAGGGAAUCUUCCGCAAUGGACGAAAGUCUGACGGAGCAACGCCGCGUGAGUGAUGAAGGUUUUCGGAUCGUAAAGCUCUGUUGUUAGGGAAGAACAAGUGCCGUUUGAAUAAGGCGGCACCUUGACGGUACCUAACCAGAAAGCCACGGCUAACUACGUGCCAGCAGCCGCCGUAAGAC